AGAACGAACGCUGGCGGCACGCCUAACACAUGCAAGUCGAGCGCCCAGCAAUGGGAGCGGCGGACGGGUGAGUAACACGUGGGAAUAUGCCUUUCGGUACGGAACAACUCAGGGAAACUUGAGCUAAUGCCGUAUACGCCCUUACGGGGAAAGAUUUAUCGCCGAAAGAUUAGCCCGCGUCUGAUUAGCUAGUUGGUGAGGUAAUGGCUCACCAAGGCUUCGAUCAGUAGCUGGUUUGAGAGAACGACCAGCCACACUGGGACUGAGACACGGCCCAGACUCCUACGGGAGGCAGCAGUGGGGAAUCUUGGACAAUGGGGGAAACCCUGAUCCAGCGAUGCCGCGUGAGUGAUGAAGGCCUUCGGGUUGUAAACUCUUUCGACGGGACGAUAAUGACGGUACCCGUAGAAGAAGCUCCGGCUAACUUCGUGCCAGCAGCCGC
rnacentral:rRNA from 1 species